UCGAUCUCAAAUCAGGUAGGACUACCCGCUGAACUUAAGCAUAUCAAUAAGCGGAGGAAAAGAAACUAACAAGGAUUCCCCUAGUAACUGCGAGUGAAGCGGGAAGAGCUCAAAUUUAAAAUCUGGCGUGCCUCUGGCCGUCCGAGUUGUAGUCUGGAGAAGCGUCUUCCGUGUUGGACCGUGUAUAAGUCUCUUGGAACAGGGCGUCAUAGAGGGUGAGAAUCCCGUCUUUGACACGGACUACCAAUGCUUUGUGAUGCGCUCUCAAAGAGUCGAGUUGUUUGGGAAUGCAGCUCAAAAUGGGUGGUAAAUUCCAUCUAAAGCUAAAUAUAGGCGAGAGACCGAUAGCGAACAAGUACCGUGAGGGAAAGAUGAAAAGCACUUUGGAAAGAGAGUUAAACAGUACGUGAAAUUGCUGAAAGGGA
rnacentral:rRNA from 1 species